ACGCCUGAGCAAGCCCCAUGGGAACACAGCCGUGGUGGGAAGCAGCUUCCCAGCAGCCCUCCCCGCCAUCGGGAGAAUCCCCUGAGGCCAUGAGGGGGUCUCAGGGAGGUGGACGGCCCAUCAAGUGAGAACCGAGGGCGCUGUGCACUCCUGAAGCCUAGGACUCCUCUUAGCUGUGUCUUGUCUCUACUUGGGGUACAAUUAAUAGCAGAGCCAGUCAUGUCCUACCAGCAUUCGUUUUAUACAGGCUGGAUAUAUGUGUCAUUGACUAACAACAUCAACAAUGAAAUGAAUCUGAGAAAACAGGAAAUUGAGAGCAAGAGAAAAAAGUGUUAAUUAUACUGAUUUUGUGUAAGACCCCUUUGAACACAUUUUUAAAAAAUCAAAUAGAAGGUGCCCAGGUCCACUGUGCCUUGUGGAUAUUUGUCUUGUAUAUCCUAGAGAUCUACGCAUUCAUGUGGGAAUUGAAAAGGACCCACAUUUUACUAGAAGCAUCGUUCAUUUUUGCCUCAAAACAAACAAUGCCCACAUGUCAGAAGAACUUUCACAAUUCACAGGAACAGUGACCUAAUUAACCAACCAUAAAAUUGCCAAAUCCCUACUUCUCAUU
rnacentral:lncRNA from 1 species